AUUGAACGCUGGCGGCAUGCUUUACACAUGCAAGUCGGACGAGUGGCGAACGGGUGUGUAACGCAUCGGAACGCAUCGAGGAAUGGGGGAUAACUGGCCGACAGGACAGCUAACACCGCAUAAUAUUCUAGCCGCCGAUGUCUGAUUAGCUGGUUGGCGGGGUAAAGGCCCCCCAAGGCGACGAUCAGUAGCGGGUCUGCGAGGAUGAACCGCCACAAUGGAACUGAGACACGGCCCAGACUCCUACGGGAGGCAGCAGUGGGGAAUUUUGGACAAUGGGCGCAAGCCUGAUGCAGCCAUGCCGCGUGUCUGAAGAAGGCCUUCGGGUUGUAAAGGACUUUUGUCAGGGAAGCGGUACCUGAAGAAUAAGCACCGGCUAACUACGUGCCAGCAGCCGCGGUAAUUC
rnacentral:rRNA from 1 species